rnacentral:rRNA from 1 species
CCUACGGGAGGCAGCAGUGGGGAAUUUUGGACAAUGGGCGCAAGCCUGAUCCAGCAAUGCCGCGUGAGUGAAGAAGGCCUUCGGGUUGUAAAGCUCUUUUGUCAGGGAAGAAACGGACUUUUCUAAUACAGAGGUCUAAUGACGGUACCUGAAGAAUAAGCACCGGCUAACUACGUGCCAGCAGCCGCGGUAAUACGUAGGGUGCAAGCGUUAAUCGGAAUUACUGGGCGUAAAGCGUGCGCAGGCGGUUUUGUAAGUUUGUCGUGAAAUCCCCGGGCUCAACCUGGGAAUGGCGAUGAAGACUGCAAGGCUAGAGUUUGGCAGAGGGGGGUAGAAUUCCACGUGUAGCAGUGAAAUGCGUAGAUAUGUGGAGGAACACCGAUGGCGAAGGCAGCCCCCUGGGUCAAAACUGACGCUCAUGCACGAAAGCGUGGGGAGCAAACAGGAUUAGAUACCCUGGUAGUCCACGCCCUAAACGAUGUCUACUAGUUGUCGGGUCUUAAUUGACUUGGUAACGCAGCUACGCGUGAGUAGACCGCCGUGGGAGGUACGGUCGCGAGAAGUUAAACGUAACGAAAGAAGUAGACGGCGUGAGACGUAGCCGAACGGACGACGACGAGGGAGGAGG